rnacentral:rRNA from 1 species
GAUGAACGCUAGCGGCAGGAUUAACACAUGCAAGUCGAGGGGCAGCACGUCUUCGGAUGGUGGCGACCGGCGCACGGGUGCGUAACGCGUAUAGAAUCUACCUUUUACAGGGGAAUAGCCCAGAGAAAUUUGGAUUAAUGCCCCAUAGUAUUAUAGAAUGGCAUCAUUUUAUAGUUAAACAUUUAUGGGUAAAAGAUGACUAUGCGUUCUAUUAGAUAGUAGGUAAGGUAACGGCUUACCUAGGCGACGAUAGAUAGGGGUCCUGAGAGGGAGAUCCCCCACACUGGUACUGAGACACGGACCAGACUCCUACGGGAGGCAGCAGUGAGGAAUAUUGGACAAUGGGCGAGAGCCUGAUCCAGCCAUGCCGCGUGCAGGAAGACGGUCCUAUGGAUUGUAAACUGCUUUUAUACAGGA